ensembl:lncRNA
GUCGGACACGACUGAGCGACUGAACUGAACUGAACUACAGCAAUCGAAACAUACUAUAGAGAUCUCUUCAAAUCAGCACCAUGCAAAAUGCUGACCAAACCCUCUCAGAGGACUCUGGAAGAGAUGGGCUCAGUCUCCUGGGCCAUUAUGCUCAUUUGUGAAAUUGAAGAGGCUGUAUUACAAACCCUCCUAGGUUCUUCCUGCCCCCAAAUCUUUAAGAUUCUAUGACUUUUAUAAGCUAACAGAUGAUUUCUGUUAGAUGCCAAUUAAACUUUCUCUAACAUCGAAGUUGCUGGUGUAGAGCAGAUAUAAACACAGCUUUCAACAUCUUCCUAUAUGUAGUUAAACUGAGAGAUUUAGCCAACAGUAAGGAGAAGGCAAUGGCACCCCACUCCAGUACUCUUGCCUGGAAAAUCCAAUGGAUGGAGGAGGCUGGUAAGCUACAGUCCCUGGGGUCGCAAAGAGUGGGACACGACUGAGCGACUUCACUUUCACUUUUCACUUUCAUGCAUUGGGAGGAAAUGGCAACCCACUCCAGUGUUCUUGCCUGGAGAAUCCCAGGACGACGGGAGUCUGGUGGGCUGCCAUCUAUGGGGUUGCACAGAGUCGAACACGACUGAAGUGACUUAGCAGCAGCAGCAAGGAAGCAGAAGGGCUUCCUGAUGGCUCAGCAGUAAAGAGCCUGCCUGCAGUGCAAGAGACCAGGGUUUGAUCCCUGGGUCAGGAAGAUCCCCAGGAGGCCAACAUGGCAACCCACUCCAGUACUCCUGCCUAGAGAAUCCCAGGGACAGAGGAACCUGGCAGGCUGCAGUCCAUAGGGUUGCACAGAGUUGAACACGACUGAAGCGAUAAGCAGCAGCAGCAGCAAGAAAGCAGAAAACCCAAGAAAAGUCUAAUAUUUUUCUACUGAGGGCAACAUCUCUGACUCCCAAUUCACUGCCAACACAAUUGGUAGAAAUGUGAAAGAUACUUCCAUUUGGUAGCAAGGUAUCUGGCAAAUAAAAGGCUAUCUGUAUAUUCAUAUUUGCAGCUGUCUGUAAACCUUCCAUUCUCUCCAGAACAGCAAAUCCUUCACUGCAGUUUCCUCUCCCUGCCCAGUUAUCCCAGUCACCUCCAGCUCUCCCAGAGAGGGACAAGUGGUCAUAAGUCCUUGCUACCAUCUCUCCUUAAAGACUGAAUGCUCCUGAUGGGCAGGAGGGGCCCGUCUAUCCACUAGGCAGCCAGGACACCCAGCACCAGGGUUAGGAUUAGAGAUACCUGAGUGCCGCUUCUGGUUCUGCUGCUCCAAAGCUGUGUGACUUGGAGAAACUACCUACUCUCCCCUGCGAAUGGGCGUGCCUCUCUACCUGUCUUGCAGAGCAGCUGUGAGAAUUAGGUAAGGUCUUUUCACAAAUACAUGUGAACUAUAUGCAACUCAGCAAUCAGGAACUGUUCUUUCUCUUGGUAUCCCCACAGCACAGUAACUUGCUGUUAAGCUUCUCAGUAAACAUCUAUUAGGUCGAAGAUGCCUGGCCUAAGCCAGCUUCCAGACUGCAGCUUCCUCAGUUUCAUCCUGGACUGUUUGCAAAAGCAAACUGUGAGUCUGAGAAGCACAGUCAGCAUCAAGCACAUGGCUUCUGCAAACAGAGGACACAGCUACACCCCACAGGGAAGUCUUUGCUUCUGUACACACUGAUAAUGAUCCCUGUCAAUAAAAACAUAAUUUACACAAAGAACUGAUUAUAUAGUACUUGCCUUUGUGUAUUGCCUUAUAUUUUCAAAGUCUUUUCACAUAUGCAUUUCCUUUGCUUAUAAAUGCAAAAAUUUGCUUGUUUGCAGAUGGCCACACCUAGCUAAAGGUAGUCAACUUAAAAAAAUAUUCCAGAAUGUUGAUCCAUUAAGGAAAUUACCUCUGAAAUGAGUUAGAACCAGCAAAUCACUGUGAACAUAUUCAGCUGCCAUCUUAAAACAACAGAUCAACAAUUUUCAGUGUCUUCAUGUCUCAUCAAAUUCCAUAAAAGGUUGAUUUUGCUUACUCUAUUUAACUAAACUCAGAUAAUUUCUUUGUCUUUUUAGUUUUUUGAUCAUAAAAUACUUUAAAAACUAAACCAUGCCUAAUAUGGAAAAUAAUAAUCAUAAAUAAUGCUAUCACUGAGAUAUUACUCUGAUUAUUAACAAUUUUGUAAAUUCCUCCCAGUCUUCUUUAUAUGCUUUUGUUAUAU